UACGAAGGGGGCUAGCGUUGCUCGGAAUCACUGGGCGUAAAGCGCACGUAGGCGGACUCUUAAGUCAGGGGUGAAAUCCUGGAGCUCAACUCCAGAACUGCCUUUGAUACUGGGAGUCUCGAGUUCGGGAGAGGUGAGUGGAACUGCGAGUGUAGAGGUGAAAUUCGUAGAUAUUCGCAAGAACACCAGUGGCGAAGGCGGCUCACUGGCCCGAUACUGACGCUGAGGUGCGAAAGCGUGGGGAGCAAACAGG
rnacentral:rRNA from 1 species